rnacentral:rRNA from 1 species
GAUGAACGCUGGCGGCGUGCCUAAUACAUGCAAGUAGAACGCUGAAGGAGGAGCUUGCUCUUCUGGAUGAGUUGCGAACGGGUGAGUAACGCGUAGGUAACCUGCCUGGUAGCGGGGGAUAACUAUUGGAAACGAUAGCUAAUACCGCAUGACAACAGUUAUUGCAUGAUAACUGUUUAAAAGGGGCAACUGCUCCACUACCAGAUGGACCUGCGUUGUAUUAGCUAGUUGGUGAGGUAACGGCUCACCAAGGCGACGAUACAUAGCCGACCUGAGAGGGUGAUCGGCCACACUGGGACUGAGACACGGCCCAGACUCCUACGGGAGGCAGCAGUAGGGAAUCUUCGGCAAUGGACGGAAGUCUGACCGAGCAACGCCGCGUGAGUGAAGAAGGUUGUCGGACCGUAAAGCUCUGUUGUAAGAGAAGAACGAGUGUGAGAGUGGAAAGUUCACACUGUGACGGUAUCUUACCAGAAAGGGACGGCUAACUACGUG